GCAGCAUGAUCUAGCUUGCUAGAUUGAUGGCGAGUGGCGAACGGGUGAGUAAUACAUCGGAACGUGCCCUGUAGUGGGGGAUAACUAGUCGAAAGAUUAGCUAAUACCGCAUACGACCUGAGGGUGAAAGUGGGGGACCGCAAGGCCUCAUGCUAUAGGAGCGGCCGAUGUCUGAUUAGCUAGUUGGUGGGGUAAAGGCCCACCAAGGCGACGAUCAGUAGCUGGUCUGAGAGGACGAUCAGCCACACUGGGACUGAGACACGGCCCAGACUCCUACGGGAGGCAGCAGUGGGGAAUUUUGGACAAUGGGGGCAACCCUGAUCCAGCAAUGCCGCGUGUGUGAAGAAGGCCUUCGGGUUGUAAAGCACUUUUGUCCGGAAAGAAAUCGCACUUACUAAUAUUAGGUGUGGAUGACGGUACCGGAAGAAUAAGGACCGGCUAACUACGUGCCAGCAGCCGCGGUAAUACGUAGGGUCCAAGCGUUAAUCGGAAUUACUGGGCGUAAAGCGUGCGCAGGCGGUUGUGCAAGACCGAUGUGAAAUCCCCGGGCUUAACCUGGGAAUUGCAUUGGUGACUGCACGGCUAGAGUGUGUCAGAGGGGGGUAGAAUUCCACGUGUAGCAGUGAAAUGCGUAGAGAUGUGGAGGAAUACCGAUGGCGAAGGCAGCCCCCUGGGAUAACACUGACGCUCAUGCACGAAAGCGUGGGGAGCAAACAGGAUUAGAUACCCUGGUAGUCCACGCCCUAAACGAUGUCAACUAGUUGUUGGGGAUUCAUUUCCUUAGUAACGUAGCUAACGCGUGAAGUUGACCGCCUGGGGAGUACGGUCGCAAGAUUAAAACUCAAAGGAAUUGACGGGGACCCGCACAAGCGGUGGAUGAUGUGGAUUAAUUCGAUGCAACGCGAAAAACCUUACCUACCCUUGACAUGCCACUAACGAAGCAGAGAUGCAUUAGGUGCUCGAAAGAGAAAGUGGACACAGGUGCUGCAUGGCUGUCGUCAGCUCGUGUCGUGAGAUGUUGGGUUAAGUCCCGCAACGAGCGCAACCCUUGUCUCUAGUUGCUACGAAAGGGCACUCUAGAGAGACUGCCGGUGACAAACCGGAGGAAGGUGGGGAUGACGUCAAGUCCUCAUGGCCCUUAUGGGUAGGGCUUCACACGUCAUACAAUGGUGCAUACAGAGGGUUGCCAAGCCGCGAGGUGGAGCUAAUCCCAGAAAAUGCAUCGUAGUCCGGAUCGUAGUCUGCAACUCGACUACGUGAAGCUGGAAUCGCUAGUAAUCGCGGAUCAGCAUGCCGCGGUGAAUAUGUUCCCGGGUCUUGUACACACCGCCCGUCACACCAUGGGAGUGGGUUUUGCCAGAAGUAGUUAGCCUAACCGUAAGGAGGGCGAUACC
rnacentral:rRNA from 1 species